rnacentral:rRNA from 1 species
UACAGAGGGGGCAAGCGUUGUUCGGAAUUACUGGGCGUAAAGGGCGCGUAGGCGGCCUUCUAAGUCGAACGUGAAAUCCCCGGGCUCAACCCGGGAACUGCGUCUGAUACUGGAGGGCUUGAAUCCGGGAGAGGGAUGUGGAAUUCCAGGUGUAGCGGUGAAAUGCGUAGAUAUCUGGAGGAACACCGGUGGCGAAGGCGGCAUCCUGGACCGGUAUUGACGCUGAGGCGCGAAAGCCAGGGGAGCAAACGGG